rnacentral:rRNA from 1 species
GAUGAACGCUAGCGGCAGGCUUAACACAUGCAAGUCGAGGGGCAGCGCGGGAUAGCAAUAUCCUGGCGGCGACCGGCGGAAGGGUGCGUAACGCGUGAGCGACAUGCCCGUUGCCCGGGGACAACCGGUGGAAACGCCGACUAAUCCCCGAUGGGAUAUUGUGCCGCAUGGCACGAUAUUGAAAGUUACGGCGGCGACGGAUUGGCUCGCGUCCGAUUAGCUGGUUGGCGGGGUAACGGCCCACCAAGGCUGCGAUCGGUAGGGGUUCUGAGAGGAAGGCCCCCCACAAUGGGACUGAGACACGGCCCAUACUGCUACGGGAGGCAGCAGUGAGGAAUAGUGGUCAAUGGGCGGAAGCCUGAACCAGCCAUGCCGCGUGCGGGAAGGAGGCCCUAUGGGCUGUGAACCGCUUUUGCCUGGGGGCAAUAAGGGCGUCGCGCACGUCCGAUGAGAGUACCAGGCGAAUAAGCAUCGGCUAACUCCGUG